CGUAUAGUUUAAAAAAAAUAUAGGUUUGUGGUUCCUAAGUUGAAAUUUUUUUAUGAACAAUU
rnacentral:tRNA from 1 species